rnacentral:rRNA from 1 species
UACGUAGGGUGCAAGCGUUAAUCGGAAUUACUGGGCGUGAAGCGUGCGCAGGCGGUCUUGCAAGACAGAUGUGAAAUCCCCGGGCUCAACCUGGGAACUGCAUUUGUGACUGCAAGGCUGGAGUACGGCAGAGGGGGAUGGAAUUCCGCGUGUAGCAGUGAGAUGCGUAGAUAUGCGGAGGAACACCGAUGGCGAAGGCAGCCCCCUGGACCUGUACUGACGCUCAUGCACGAAAGCAUGGGGAGCAAACAGG